GUAGUCCACGCCGUAAACUAUGGAUACUAGAUGUCGGAAGAUCUUACCCUUUCGGUGUCGUAGCUAACGCAUUAAGUAUCCCGCCUGGGAAGUACGGUCGCAAGAUUAAAACUCAAAGAAAUUGACGGGGGCCCGCACAAGCGGUGGAGUAUGUGGUUUAAUUCGACGCAACGCGAAGAACCUUAUCCUGGGCUUGACAUCUGGUGCUAUCCGGUGAAAGUCGGAGUUUCCUUCGGGAACGCCAAGACAGGUGCUGCAUGGCUGUCGUCAGCUCGUGUCGUGAGAUGUUGGGUUAAGUCCCGCAACGAGCGCAACCCUUGCUAUUAGUUGCCAGCAUUUAGUUGGGCACUCUAAUAGGACCGCUUGCCGAUAAGGCAGA
rnacentral:rRNA from 1 species